rnacentral:rRNA from 1 species
GACGAACGCUGGCGGCGUGCUUAACACAUGCAAGUCGAACGGAAAGGCCCUGCUUUUGUGGGGUGCUCGAGUGGCGAACGGGUGAGUAACACGUGAGUAACCUGCCCUUGACUUUGGGAUAACUUCAGGAAACUGGGGCUAAUACCGGAUAGGAGCUCCUGCUGCAUGGUGGGGGUUGGAAAGUUUCGGCGGUUGGGGAUGGACUCGCGGCUUAUCAGCUUGUUGGUGGGGUAGUGGCUUACCAAGGCUUUGACGGGUAGCCGGCCUGAGAGGGUGACCGGGCACAUUGGGACUGAGAUAGGGCCCAGAGUGCUACGGGGGGCAGCAGUGGGGAGUAUUGCACAGUGGGCGGAAGCCUGAGGCAGCAACGCCGCGUGCGGGAUGACGGCCUUCGGGUUGUAAACCGCUUUCGGCUGAGACGAAGCGUGAGUGACGGUAAUGGGUGAAGAAGCACCGGCUAACUACGUG